rnacentral:lncRNA from 1 species
UAAUGACAAAGGCAUUAUAUUAAUUAGCUUUUAGGGCACAGAAAGCAACUGUUUUCACGUUGUUACACUCUUUAAUGUACCAACCAAUACAUUCAUUCUUGUAAACAUACAUUAGGUAUAAAUAUAACAAUAUAUAUAACUUUGUUCAUGGAACAAAUCUUGUAAAAAAAUCCCUGGUAGUUUAAUUUCAAAUUCCAACUUGACUUUAGUCAUGGUAAUAAUAAGUAUCAAAUGUAUAUUCAAAUUUGUUGAACACAAUUAAAAAAUGAAAUUCAUCAGCAAAACUGAGCAAAAAUUUAUUUUUCUACACAACCUAUCGGCAUGGUUUUGCCAUAAAAUUUCUAUUUUAAUAACUUUAAAUAUUGUGAUAAAUGUUUGUUUUUUAACACUGUAAACUAUAUAGAAAAUUACCAGGUUGGGACAAAAAUAUGUUUACCUAGAAAGCCCUCUAUUUUAUGAAACACUCAUUAGGCUAAUUGCUAAUUAUUGAUGCACCAAUUCCAAAAUUAAGUCAAUAAUACAAUUAUAUUCAACUGCCAUGUCUAUCAAAUAAUUCAUAUUCUUAUCACUAGGUUAUUUACCUUACUGUUGGCUUCUGAAAUGUGUGUAAUCUUCUAAAAAAACUUGUGAUUUGGUCUUACCUUGGACCUACAAUAACCACAAACAAUAUAGAUCCAGGUGACACUUGUGCUUUCAGAUAUCCCUGUCUUCAAUGUUGUAAGAUGUGAUCAAAAUGCUUUUAUCUGUCCAGGUAUUACUUCUUUAUUUAUCCAACUUUCAAUGCAAUUUAUAUGAAUGUAAUUUUAGCUUUCAGCAUACAAAAGCAAUCUUAUUAUAUUAAUAUAUGAAGUAGUACAUCAUGUCCAUGUGGCCUAUUAUAAAAGUAUUUUUAAGAAUUCUACCUUAAGAACAGUAAAGCAGAAUCCUAAUCAAAUUUGAAAUAUGUGUUAUUACACUAUAUACUGGAUAAUUUGACAUUUCUUGAAUUGAGUUUUUACAAGCAGUUGGAGAACCUAAUCUGAUGACUUCCUUAAUUCCCAUUUGAGAAUUAUAAAAACUGCUAAUUAUAAAAACUGCUAACUACAUACGACUAAAAUGAAUAACGACAGAAGAUGUAUAAAUUUGACCAAUUCCAUACUGCAGUGAAAUUGGUUGCAGAAAUCUAACAAAUACUAAAAUGGUUUUCCUACUUCAAUCUCAAUCAAAAGAAACCUUAUUAUGGGACAAGAGGAAAUUAUAAGUCCAAGAGUGUGAAAUAAAUCUUACAACAAACAUGUGGACAAAGUUACAUACCUAAUACUUUAGACCUGACUGUUGAUCCUGUAUACAAGAGAAUAUCUACCUGGUACUUACCUGUUUUAUGUUAAUUAUCUCAAGUCAUGCAGCUUACCUGUACAAACAUACUUCAUCCUUAUUCAGUCUAAGUCAGCUAAGGUAAUCAAUAGUCUUGACAUUGUAAAAUGUGUUCAAUAUCAUAAAUUUACUUUAACUGGGUGUUCAUUGAGCAGUUAUUCUGACUACUAUAUUUAUGUUAAUGAGUCAUUAUGAAAUUCAUUUCAGUCAUUACAAAAGUUAUUGCUGUCUUUAAGGUAUCCUAAUUUUGUGAAUGGUUUAUACUGUACAACAAUAUAAUUCAUAAUAUAAACAUGUUAUAAAUCACUCCAGACGGACAUAAAGAGUAUUCAUGAUUGAUUGAUAAAAUCAGUCUGAACUGACCAUUAUGAAGGAAUGAAAAUUCUUGGCUUUUGAUACAUCAUGUACAUUUUAAGACAUUCCUUUCAUCCCUCACACACAAUGAAACAUAAAAAACACAAAAAAAUCAAAAGAUGUAGUCUAAUGAAGAUUUUUUUUUAUGAAAAUUCAUAAAUUAAAUGAUAAAAAUUCUUUCACAUCCUUCAUAUUUUCUCACUCUCUCUCUCUAUCUUCCCAAUUAUUGAACACCAUUUUCCAUGAACAAUCUGCACACAGAAUUUCUUCACAUCCUCUAUUGGGUCAAUCAUUUAUCACAUGGCAGUAACAGCACACAGGAUUUCAAUGCUAAAUUAAAUUAUAUAUUAUUUCCCUCCUAGACUAAAUGACAAUUUCGGUCUAGCAUUUUUCUUAUUGAGAAUCACUUCUUGUUCAGAUCUUUUUCUCUUCUGGUCUUCGUCUUCCAUUCGUUGUUUUUGUUCUAACAUUUUCCUCUGUUCUUCAACAAGUUUCAAUUGUUCUUCAGC